CGGAGCAACGCCGCGUGAGUGAUGAAGGUCUUCGGAUCGUAAAACUCUGUUAUCAGGGAAGAACAAAUGUGUAAGUAACUGUGCACAUCUUGACGGUACCUGAUCAGAAAGCCACGGCUAACUACGUGCCAGCAGCCGCGGUAAUACGUAGGUGGCAAGCGUUAUCCGGAAUUAUUGGGCGUAAAGCGCGCGUAGGCGGUUUUUUAAGUCUGAUGUGAAAGCCCACGGCUCAACCGUGGAGGGUCAUUGGAAACUGGAAAACUUGAGUGCAGAAGAGGAAAGUGGAAUUCCAUGUGUAGCGGUGAAAUGCGCAGAGAUAUGGAGGAACACCAGUGGCGAAGGCGACUUUCUGGUCUGUAACUGACGCUGAUGUGCGAAAGCGUGGGGAUCAAACAGGAUUAGAUACCCUGGUAGUCCACGCCGUAAACGAUGAGUGCUAAGUGUUAGGGGGUUUCCGCCCCUUAGUGCUGCAGCUAACGCAUUAAGCAC
rnacentral:rRNA from 1 species